UAGCUAUGUCGUUGUCGCUUUCACAUGAGGAAGAAAAAUGUUACACCUCAUUAACACAGAAUCCCCUCUUUGCUUCAUAGGCAUUUUUUAGGCUAAAGAUAUGACUCUGACUGCUUGGAGAAUGUUUAGUUGACCCGAUUGUCACGGCUAUUGUGACUACUGACUUUGAUUUUUACGACAUAAUCCUCUGAUCAUUUCAGCCCAUGAUUAAAUGAAGCUUGUAGAGCACAAACGCUAUGCUGCAAACGCUAACAUUCUAUCUAUCACAUUGCCCUGGCACUGGAUUCUAUCUAUCAUUACUAUACGACACAUUCACAUAGUAAUUCAGAAUAAUGGAAGUGAAAUGAUACUUUGUGAUGAGAGAGAGAGAGGGGAGGGGGGGGGGGGGGGUCAUGUUUGGAAAAGGACUAAAUUAGAAGAGUUGAUGAAAGAAGGAUCAUACAUAGUUUGUUGGAUAUCUGGUUAUGCUUAGAUGUUAACUGAUCUCGAAUAUUUUAACUACAUGCACACAAAAGAAAAGAUGCAACUACAUUCUGCACAAUCCCACACCUUGCGCAUUGUCAUGCCAAGCUAAGCAAUUUACUUAGUUCUCCCCUGAGUCAAUACUCCUCUGCUUUAUGGUCAUUAAGUUCUAAACAUUUCAAUUUUGCGAACAGUGAGCACAAAUUCAUUCAUUUUCAAGUUUCAAAUGAUAUUUUGCAAGACAAGAACAGAUUGCGCAAGUAUCACAUAGCAGCUUACGGCCCAAAAUGACGUGUGUACACUCACGUCCAGCCAAAAGUUUAUUAGCUAAGGGCUUAACGGAGAGCUUACCUAAGUCAUAGAUUUUCAUCAUUUUACAUCAAAAGAAUCUCUGAGGUUUCGAUCAGUCCCGGAGAUUCCUUAGUACCAUGAUGUCAUACAUCGAUAAGCCAGACUGUUGUUCCUAAUUAAUUUCACAAUCAAGCGAAUGUUCCUAAUUAAUUUAACAAUCAAGCGAAUAAAAUAGAUUCCAUAAAAGUAUGAUCUUUUUACUAGUUUACUUUAGAUUUGUUUACGGAGAAAGCAAAGCAUGACUUGAGUUCCCAUUCCUAAUAUACAUCCAAUUGACAAUCUGUCUAUUUUGUUCUUAUCCUAGGUUCCCAAACUGCAUCUAGACAAAAUUGAUGAUGACAGUUACAUUGGCAUAUCUACCGCUUUCUUCGCCAUUGCUUUACGUAACAAUGACACAUAUUCAGGGCCUU
rnacentral:lncRNA from 1 species